AUGUGAAGGCACCCUCUCAAUAAAUCCUUAUACCUCUCCCAUGCAUCGUAUAGGGUUUUUCAGUCCAUUUGUACAAAGGACGAUAUAUAAUUCCUCAACUU
rfam:Gossypium arboreum cultivar AKA8401 contig_21366_1, whole genome shotgun sequence.